rnacentral:rRNA from 1 species
AUUGAACGCUGGCGGCAUGCCUUACACAUGCAAGUCGAACGGCAGCACGGGAGCAAUCCUGGUGGCGAGUGGCGAACGGGUGAGUAAAGUAUCGGAACGUGCCCAGUCGUGGGGGAUAACGUAGCGAAAGUUACGCUAAUACCGCAUACGAUCUAUGGAUGAAAGCGGGGGAUCGCAAGACCUCGCGCGAUUGGAGCGGCCGAUAUCAGAUUAGGUAGUUGGUGGGGUAAAGGCUCACCAAGCCGACGAUCCGUAGCUGGUCUGAGAGGACGACCAGCCACACUGGGACUGAGACACGGCCCAGACUCCUACGGGAGGCAGCAGUGGGGAAUUUUGGACAAUGGGCGAAAGCCUGAUCCAGCCAUGCCGCGUGCAGGAUGAAGGCCUUCGGGUUGUAAACUGCUUUUGUACGGGACGAAAAGGUUUGGGCUAAUAAGCUGAGCUCAUGACGGUACCGUAAGAAUAAGCACCGGCUAACUACGUGCCAGCCGCCGCAGUAA